GUCCGGCGGCCCGGCCUGGAAGGGUAGCCGGGGUGAGGGGAAGAAAUCGCUCAGGGAGUCGACCUUCACUUCCUCCUCCUACUUCCUCCACUCCCCAGCGAAAUGCUUCCUUUCUUCUUCCUCGAGGGUGUUCCCUUUCCCUUAGAGUAGCUCAAGUGGUUGGAAAGACAGCUGAAGAGAGAGUGAGUACUCAGCAUGGGAGAAAUGAUAGAACUGCCAUGUGUUGUAAAGGCC
rnacentral:lncRNA from 1 species